rnacentral:rRNA from 1 species
ACACAUGCAAGUCGAGCGGGAAAUCCGUGACGGAUCCUUCGGGUGACGGAUCGGAUGGAGAGCGGCGGACGGGUGAGUAACGCGUAGGUAACCUGCCCUGUACAGAGGGAUAGCCACUGGAAACGGUGAUUAAUACCUCAUAAUGCCGGAUCUGCACAUGCAGGACCGGUCAAAGUUUUUUCGGUACAGGAUGGACCUGCGUCUGAUUAGCUUGUUGGUGGGGUAACGGCUCACCAAGGCGACGAUCAGUAGCCGACCUGAGAGGGUGAUCGGCCACAUUGGAACUGAGACACGGUCCAAACUCCUACGGGAGGCAGCAGUGGGGAAUAUUGNACAAUGGGGGAAACCCUGAUGCAGCAACGCCGCGUGAACGAAGAAGGCUCUUGGGUCGUAAAGUUCUGUUCUGAGGGAAGAAGAAAGUGACGGUACCUCAGGAGAAAGCCCCGGCUAACUACGUGCCAGCAGCCGCGGUAAUACGUAGGGGGCAAGCGUUGUCCGGAAUUAUUGGGCGUAAAGAGUACGUAGGCGGUCUGGUAAGCGCAAGGUGAAAGGCAUAGGCUCAACCAAUGUCAGCCUUGCGAACUGUCAGACUUGAGUGCAGGAGGGGAAAGUGGAAUUCCUAGUGUAGCGGUGAAAUGCGUAGAUAUUAGGAGGAACACCAGUGGCGAAGGCGACUUUCUGGACUGUAACUGACGCUGAGGUAC